UACGAAGGGGGCUAGCGUUGCUCGGAAUGACUGGGCGUAAAGGGCGCGUAGGCGGAUGGUACAGUCAGAUGUGAAAUUCCUGGGCUUAACCUGGGGGCUGCAUUUGAUACGUGUUGUCUAGAGUGAGGAAGAGGGUCGUGGAAUUCCCAGUGUAGAGGUGAAAUUCGUAGAUAUUGGGAAGAACACCGGUGGCGAAGGCGGCGACCUGGUCCUUUACUGACGCUGAGGCGCGAAAGCGUGGGGAGCAAACAGGG
rnacentral:rRNA from 1 species